AGAAUCCCGAGCAGGCUCCGCACUGUCAGCACAGAGCCCAACGCAGGGCUCAGUCCCACAAACCACGAGAUCAUGACCUGAGCCGAAAUCAAGAGCUGGACGCUGAACCGACUGCACCGCCCCCCCCAGGCGCCCCAAGACCUCGCUGCAACACCAUCACGUCACCCAAACACCAGAACAACGUCUUCGUUAUCAUCAAAUAUGCAGUUGAUGGCCGAAUUCUCACAAACACUUUCUUAACAGUUGCCUUGUGUGAAACAAGAUCCAGUCAGGUCUCCACAUUAAAUUUGCUUGAUAGAUUUCUCAAGUCUCUUGCUUUUUUAGGAAACAUGUUUAUGAAAGCGUCCUAAAUAGAGAAGAGCACAUAAAUCCUUAAGUGUGCAGCUCACUGGAUUCUUUCCUGGGAGGCCCCUACCCCUGCCACAAAAGCAAACAUUGCCCGACCUGAGCAGCGUCUUACCGUCAUUUUAAUUUGCAUUUUUCUGAUGACUAAUCAUGUUGAGCCCUUUUAAAAUAGUUGUUCUUUUUUUUUGGGGGGGGGGUGUGCCAUGGGAUAUUCUCUUUUAUGAAGCGCCUUUUCAAGUCUUCUGCGUCUCCCUCCUUUUAACAUUGUGUUUCCUCUUUCUCAUUGAUCUGUGGAAUUCUUUAUGGAUUGUGAGUGUGAAUGUUUUGUUGGACCCACGUCCUGCAAAUUCCUUCUCCCGCUGUGUGGUUUGCUUUCAGUCUCUUAAUGGUGUCUCGACGAGCAGAAGUUCUUAAUGAAAUCCAAUUCAUCAAUUGUUCCCCUUAUGGUUCGUGGUUGUUGUGUCCUACUUCAGAAGUCAUUCCCCGUCCUCAAGGGCACGGAGAUACUCUUCUCAGAUAGACUCUGCAAGCUUCAGAGGUAUCCUUUACCUGCCCUGGAUACGUCCACGCUCCUCAACUUUUUGUUUUAAAGUUCAUUUACUUAUGUAACCUCUCCGCCCAACGUGGGGCUCGAACUCGUGACCCUGAGACCAACAGUCACACGCUCUCACAUCUGAGCCAGCCAGACGCCCCUAGAGUUUAGCUUUGUGACUGGUGUGAGGUAGGAUCAAGGCUCAUUUGUUUUUCCGUGUUUAAAUCCGGAGGGUCCAAAGACCAUGCCUUCCUCUCUGCCCCGCAGUGUGGUGUCGUCACCCUGAAUUAGAGACUGGCACACGUGUGCGUCUGUUUCUAAACCCUCUUGGUUCUCUUGGUCGGUUCACGUAUCUUUGCGCCUUUGCUGGCCAAAGUUUGUGCUAAUACUGUACUGACUUAACUGCUGUAAUCGUAUGAUAAGUCUUGCCAUCUGACAGAGUAAAUCUUUCAACUGUGUUUUUCUUCUUCAAGAUUUCCUUGGUUCUCUUGGUCCUGUGCAUUUCAUAGAAAAAAAAAAAUGGAGUCAUCCUGUCAGUUUCCACCAAAAAUCGCCAAGAUUUUGACCGGAAUCGAAUACGAUCCGUAGAUCAAUUUGGGAAAAGCGGAUAUGUUCACGGCAUUGAGCCUUUGUGCCCAGGAACACGGCAUGCUGUCCCAUUUAUAUAGGUCUUUCGUUUUUCUUGGUAAUGUCUCUGGAUUCCCUGGGCAGGUUUUGCACCUCUUUUAUCAGUAAGAUUGAUUCCUGUGCACCAGACGGGUGUUUUUGAUGUUAAUGUGAAUGGGUAUCAUGUUUAAAAUUUCAUUUUCCUCUCCCUGUCCUGAUGUUAAGAUUGCGGACAGGUAGCUCAUCGUCCAAGAUAAGUUAAAAGUCCAUAUCAGAACUGUUGUUUUAGUCUUGAACUUAGCAUGUUUUUACAGCUUAUACUCGUUUUCCACUUACACAUAAUGUAACAAUGCAGCUGGGCUUUCAUUCUUCCAAAGGACCGGACUCAACCCUCCCUUUGGAAGACUCCAGAAACCUAUUUAGGUGAGGAGCGAGGGAUUCUCCUGGGAAGAGCCCAUCUUAAGGGAGCAGGAGCCAGGCUGGCCCCACUUGACCCUGUAACAAAGCCCCUCCCCGAGGGAGGGAGACCGUGUGUGUCUGUCACUCACUUGUCUCCUGGCCCGGAGGACUCUGACUGCGGUGAGUCCCGGGAGGACGGUGUGAGAAGGGAGGGCUGUGGGGAUAAACCGGCAAGAACAUUCUAAUGAUAAUUUCAGAAAACAGUGGACGCCAUCUCUCCUGCUCUGUCGGCCCCGUUGGUGGCCUGUCGCAAAAGGAGGGCACUGCCCCUGAGCUGGCAGCAGGAUGCCCGCAGCUCGGGCUCCCUGUCUUAGGGCUUAGCGAGGCUUCCCCAGGGCUGGGAGGGGCGGCCGUGGGAACAACAGCGAACAUUUGCUGGGCCCCCACCGUGCGCUUCGUUCAUUUAAUCACCGCAUUAUUUUACCGCAUUGUUUUCGAGACGGAGGCACAGAGAGGCUAGGCAACUUGCCCGGGUCACACAGCUCCCACAUGGCAAAGCCAGGAUUCAACCAAGCAGCCAGAGACCUAGAAGCUUGGGGGAUCUCGUGAGACACUGACCUGUGGCAUCUGUCUGGGCCUUAGUGUAACCCUGUCACAUGAGUGGCCUCAUGAAGGAGACUAGACUAUUCAUGGGCUUGGGAGGCUCGUUGACUUACCAGGAAUCCAGUGGGUCGAGGAUGAUCCAGGAGGGGAGGCUUCCUUGAGGCAUUUCAGCUCCGGACAUCAGCCCUUUUGUGCCCUCGAGGGUCAGGACAGCACGCGUGUUAUCCCGGGAUCGGUUCCUGCAUCUACCGACUUUCUGGCUCCAAACAGCCGGGCGCCUGACCUGCCGGCCAUCGCCCUCUCCCUGCUCGGGGCAGCUCCGUCCUUGCCUCCCGGAACAGUCAGAGCACCUCCCUUUGCCUUUGCCCUUUCCCCUUCCCGCGGCUGCUGACCACAUUCCAGGUCUGUAGCAGCCACCAUGUCAGCCCGAGGACGGGGGCCACACGCCGAGGACCACGGCAGAAGGCUGACCCUGGAUGACCUCACGGACCUGCCAACACAGCCCGCGACUACGAACUUCUGGUCUCCAGGAAGUGAAGGUCAAGCUCGUGUGUCCGUGUUACCCGAAGCCAGACUUACAGAUGGGGACCCUCAGUGGCACCCACCCGUUUUCCUGUUCUCACCCAGACCACGGCACGGGGCCACUGCUCUCAUAAAAAACAGAAAUCACACAACUCGGAUCUCUGGUGGGACUCUGUGCGCACAGCAAAAUGGAUCUGUUGGUGCCGUCGUUCUUGGAAUUACUGAAUUUUGAGUGUUGUUGCCGUGGAGGUGGGGUGGGUGGGGUGGAGCUGGGCUUCCAUAAAUGCACAGAAGGAUCUUUGUUUAAAUGUUCAAUUUAUUUUUGAGAGGGCAUGCACGGGGGAAAGGCAGAGAGAGAGGGAGACACAGAAUCCGAAGCAGGCUCCAGGCUCUGGGCUGUCUGCACAGAGCCCGACGUGGGGCUUGAACUCACGAACAACAAGAUCACGACCUGAGCUGAAGUCGGAUGUUUCACCGACUGAGCCACCCAGGGGCCCCCAUCACUGUACGUUUUAAACAAAAGAUGUGUAAUACAGACUUACCUCUGAGUCAUUAUACGUUUUGGAGAGUAGAUGUUUUCAUAGCCAGUACGACUCUUACCCCUUUCCUUCCGUGGGGAGAUCAUCAUGCCAGUGUUCCAUGGAACAAUGUCCGCACAGAAGGGGCUCCUGCUGUCCUGGUCCCAUGUCCAACUCGAGACCACAAGUAAAAGAGAUGUCACGAAUUCACGUAUAUGUCUGUUUUUGACCGUAUACUUUUCCUCGCACGUGUGUGCCUUCCAGAAUAACCGUAUAAAUCAUUUCUUCUUUCGGUUUUCAUAGUUUUUAAUUUUUAAAACAUUUCUCAAGAUUUUAGUGAACAUACCAUAAAAUUCACCCACUUACGUGUACAGUUCAGUGGUUUUUAGUACAUUCACGGAGCUGUGCACCAGCACUGCUCACUUAAAUUUAGAACAUUCAACCCAGAAGAAACUGUGUUUUGCCAGUUAAUAGUCAUUCCCUGUUUUCCUCCUCCCCUGGUGGCUCUUACCCACUAAUAACCCACGUUUGGUCUCUCUUAUUUACUUACUGUGGACAUCCCAUGUCAAUGAAAUCAUAUCGUAUGUGGUCCUUUGGGA